GCAGUCGCCGCGGUAAUACGUAGGGUUCAAGCGUUAAUCGGAAUUACUGGGCGUAAAGCGUGCGCAGGCGGUUAUAUAAGACAGAUGUGAAAUCCCCGGGCUCAACCUGGGAACUGCAUUUGUGACUGUAUAGCUAGAGUACGGCAGAGGGGGAUGGAAUUCCGCGUGUAGCAGUGAAAUGCGUAGAUAUGCGGAGGAACACCGAUGGCGAAGGCAAUCCCCUGGGCCUGUACUGACGCUCAUGCACGAAAGCGUGGGGAGCAAACAGGAUUAGAUACCCCUGUAGUCCCUGUCUCUUAUAC
rnacentral:rRNA from 1 species